CGUUUUAGUGGCGGACGGGUGAGUAACGCGUGGGUAACCUGCCUCACACUGGGGGAUAACACUUAGAAAUAGGUGCUAAUACCGCAUAAGCGCACGGGACUGCAUGGUCUUGUGUGAAAAACUCCGGUGGUGUGAGAUGGACCCGCGUCUGAUUAGCUGGUUGGCGGGGUAACGCCCACCAAGGCGACGAUCAGUAGCCGGCCUGAGAGGGUGGACGGCCACAUUGGGACUGAGACACGGCCCAAACUCCUACGGAAGGCAGCAG
rnacentral:rRNA from 1 species